UUAGAGUUUGAUCCUGGCUCAGGACGAACGCUGGCGGCGUGCCUAAUACAUGCAAGUCGAACGCUGCUUAAGAAGAAACUUCGGUUUUUUCUUAAGCGGAGUGGCGGACGGGUGAGUAACACGUGGGGAACCUAUCCAUCAGCGGGGGAUAACACUUGGAAACAGGUGCUAAUACCGCAUACGGCUUUUUUUCACCUGAAAGAAAGCUCAAAGGCGCUUUACAGCGUCACUGAUGGCUGGUCCCGCGGUGCAUUAGCCAGUUGGUGAGGUAACGGCUCACCAAAGCAACGAUGCAUAGCCGACCUGAGAGGGUGAUCGGCCACACGGGACUGAGACACGGCCCAGACG
rnacentral:rRNA from 1 species